UAUUUACGAUUUCGUAGGGCAAAAUUCGAACUGAAUCGUCAUGGUAACCAACGAGAAAGUUUUAGUAUUGCGGUCGCAACUUGUCAUUCUUGUCCUUGGUCAUUUUUGAGGUAGAAAAACAGAGAUAAACUCCCACAAUGACAGCUCGGCACAGAGUACCACUAUAAUCAGUUAUAUGAGAUCCUUUGGAGAGAACUAAGCAGGACUACAGCUUUAACAAGUUUCUGGUUUCUGUUGCUAUGGUUGCUCUUUACAGGACACGGCAUUGGAAGCUUUGGACAAUCCUUCAUAUGAUUCUAGAACCGUAAAAUACAUCAUUGUGGUCGUCACCCCGGAAUAGAGUCAAGUGUACUACAACAUAAGCGAAAGGACGACUAGAGAGGAAGUCAGUGCCUAAAACAUGCAUGUAGCUAUGUGAGGCAAGUAACCAAGGUCUUUAAGUCAUCUAAUAGUCUACUGGCUCUUUGUAUAGCCUUUUCCAAGAGUUUAGAUAAAAAAUGACGCAGGGAAAAGCGGAGAAAAAGAGUCAGAUUUGGAACCCUUUGCUCUAUCCUUUUUUUUUGUCGCUUUCUUCGCACUGCUUAGUACACCACUGUGGUACUCUGUAUAAAUCGAGUGCUCUAUGAGGUGUCUCUGUUGGGAAAAUGGAACUAAAGUUACUGACAGCACUCUACAUCUUAGUUACUGUAGCUUGAACUGACGUGCUGGUGUGAGAAACCGAUGUAGUAGGAGAUACCUCACUCAAACUUUGACAUGGCCGUUUAAUUCUUAGUUUAAAACAACUUGGAUAAUAUUCCAACCUUUCUCUCCUCCCUCAGGUGUCUGUCAUCACAGUAAGGGCAGAUAAUUAUCUUCUUCGGACAGUCUCUAUCUACAUGCCUCUCGAAAAAUCGUUUUUGAAAUUUUGCUCCGCACUCGUACGAACACAAGAUUUCCACAAAAUCGCACUCAGUAGCAUGUUUCUACGAAUACAAAAAAAGCUCUCAACUUCAUUAAUUUCAUUCAAACUUGUUGUGCAUAGAAAUGAAAUGGAAGAAACGUUUCAUGGGAAGCCAAGCAACUGAGCUCGACUUCAUAAAAAAAAAAAUUGGUAAUAUUUCAACAAAAACCCUAAUAUAGAGCGGCAUUUCAAAAACGAAUACAAACUUACACAGUGAAUUACUUUGGUGUGCUCUACAUUUAGUGAGCAUACAUUUACCUAGAUGAGAAAGUUUCGUCACCCCGACCUCUUGGUUGACGAAAUGACGUACCAACUAAGUGUUUUGAGGAUUUCAAAAUAUUAAAUCUUGUAGAAUCUCUUCAAAAUGUCUGAGUCAAGAGAGGAUCAUCUGAUUGGAAUUCUACUGGUUUGUUACAUGAGCUUCGACUGACCAAUGUGAAUGCGAUUUCCUUGAGAUUGAGGAAAAUAAAUCGUUCUUGAAAACCAAGCAGUGAUAGUACCUGAGCGGUUUCAAACUCGCCUUCCCAUUUGCAGCCCCAUUCGUGAUUGUUGCAUCUGACAUCAAGCGCUAAAAUUUCCUUAUGGAACGCUUUGUCCACAUACGCCUAAAAAAAAAGAAACGGAAAAUGUUAUUAGUUGAACUAAAUGCUUUUAUGAAGUUUCCUGUUGGCGGUAUCGGAGAUUCUUUACUGCUUACUGCUCAAGACAAUCGAAUCGAUUCAAAUUAAUCUUUACACUUAAAAAGUAAAAACAAUCUAUAAAACACCCCGAACAUUAGAAGACAACAGGAAUGGUCGGUCACUAAUUUAGGAAUGAAAUCAUACGAGGGAGUCUCCCUUAGCUUUGUACCUGCCACAAUUACACCGUGAUAUCUGAGAAAAAGAGUAAGUCUUCUCUCCACCAAGUCUCGGGCAUAGUGACACUCCUUGGACUAACCUGACUUAAGUGCAGUUGCUUUUAAAAGAGCAUGUCGUUACUUGUUCAUAAGAAGAGGGUUUUUUGUUUAAAUAUUUUAUAUAG